GAGGUGGGGAUGACGUCAAGUCAUCAUGCCCCUUAUGUCCAGGGCUUCACACAUGCUACAAUGGCCAGUACAGAGGGCUGCGAGACCGUGAGGUGGAGCGAAUCCCUUAAAGCUGGUCUCAGUUCGGAUCGGGGUCUGCAACUCGACCCCGUGAAGUCGGAGUCGCUAGUAAUCGCAGAUCAGCAACGCUGCGGUGAAUACGUUCCCGGGCCUUGUACACACCGCCCGUCACGUCAUGAAAGUCGGUAACACCCGAAGCCGGUGGCUUAACCCCUUGUGGGAGGGAGCCGUCGAAGGUGGGAUCGGCGAUGGGACGAAGUA
rnacentral:rRNA from 1 species